AUUGAACGCUGGCGGCAUGCCUUACACAUGCAAGUCGAACGGCAGCAUGGAGAGCUUGCUCUCUGAUGGCGAGUGGCGAACGGGUGAGCAAUGCAUCGGAACGUACCGUGUAAUGGGGGAUAACGUAGCGAAAGUUACGCUAAUACCGCAUACGACCUGAGGGUGAAAGCAGGGGAUCGCAAGACCUUGCGUUAUACGAGCGGCCGAUGUCAGAUUAGCUAGUUGGUGAGGUAAAGGCUCACCAAGGCGACGAUCUGUAGCGGGUCUGAGAGGAUGAUCCGCCACACUGGGACUGAGACACGGCCCAGACUCCUACGGGAGGCAGCAGUGGGGAAUUCUGGACAAUGGGGGCAACCCUGAUCCAGCCAUGCCGCGUGAGUGAAGAAGGCCUUCGGGUUGUAAAGCUCUUUCGGCCGGGAAGAAAUCGCACAGGCUAAUACUCUGUGUGGAUGACGGUACCGGCAUAAGAAGCACCGGCUAACUACGUGCCAGCCGCCGCGGUAA
rnacentral:rRNA from 1 species